GACGAACGCUGGCGGCGUGCUUAACACAUGCAAGUCGAACGGAAAGGCCCCUUUGGGGGUACUCGAGUGGCGAACGGGUGAGUAACACGUGAGUAACCAGCCCCUGACUUCGGGAUAACUUCAGGAAACUGGGGCUAAUACCGGAUAGGAAUCAUUGCUGCAUGGGGGGGGUUGGAAAGCUGCGGCGGUUUUGGAUGGACUCGCGGCAUAUCAGCUUGCUGGUGGGGUAGUGGCGUACCGAGGCUGGGACGGGUAGCCGGCCUGAGAGGGCGACCGGCCACAUUGGGACUGAGUUCCGGCCCAAACACCUACUGGCGGCCACGGUGGGGAAUCUUGCACCAUGGGCGGUAGGCUAGUGAAGCAACGCCGCGUGCGGGAUGACGGCCUUCGGGUUGUCCACCACUUUCAGCAGGAGCGAAGCUUGUCGUGACGGUACCUGCUGAAGAAGCACCGGCUAACUACGUG
rnacentral:rRNA from 1 species